CGUAGGGACCGAGCGUUGUCCGGAUUCAUUGGGCGUAAAGAGCUCGUAGGCGGCUGCUCAAGUCGAAUGUGAAAACUCGAGGCUCAACCUCGAGCCUGCAUUCGAUACUGGGCGGCUAGAGUCUGGUAGGGGGAUCUGGAAUUCCUGGUGUAGCGGUGGAAUGCGCAGAUAUCAGGAGGAACACCGGUGGCGAAGGCGGGAUCCUGGGCCAGUACUGACGCUGAGGAGCGAAAGCGUGGGGAGCAAACAGGAUUAGAUACCCUGGUAGUCCACGCCGUAAACGAUGGGCGCUAGGUGUGGGAGGUCAUCGACUCCUUCCGUGCCGCAGCUAACGCAUUAGGCGCCCCGCCUGGGGAGUACGGCCGCAAGGCUA
rnacentral:rRNA from 1 species